AUGCUGAAAACCGCCGAGUUCAUAGAGAAGAUGCGCGAGGAGGACUGCGAUCUGCUCACGGAACAGGACAGGCUCGACUUCCACGCCUACAAGAAGAAGAUGGGCCCAGCCAUGCGCUUCAUCGCCAAGUCCACGCUCCACAACACCUUAUUCAGCCCCAUACAAUUCAGCGACACAAAGGAGGAGCACCGGACCGCCGAGGGCAUGGAGGCACAAAUACUAGCACGAUUUCCUGAUCCCCAGCCGUGCCAGCAAGCAAAAGACUUUGCUGAACUUGCUGUGGCGCACUACAAUGAGAAGAACAAAACGAGUGAGUUUGAGUUGGCCAUGACUCUGCUAUCGAAUUGCUUCUCUGAGUCGUCUGGGGACAUUUAUGGCCAUGUUAAUUUCACGGCCAUUCCUCGGAAGCAGACUGCCACAGAGCCUGCAUCAAAGACCAAGAGGUUGUUCUUUGCUGAGCUUAUGCAUACUCCGAGCCUUGAAGCAUAUGCAAGGGCUCAACCUAUGCGUGUGCUAAGUGUAUGCACCAUUGAUGACGUUUCUUGUUAUGGUGGGUGCCAUGAGAUAUUUAGAAAGAUUGAGCACAAGAGGAGAGAUGACAUGGAUUACGAGCGUUGUCAUGCAUGUAGCGACCGUAUCAAGCAUCCGAACGGGCAACUGUUUGAUGGAGGGCAUAACAGCAGCAGGAUGCCAUACUACUCUGCCUAA
rnacentral:rRNA from 1 species